rnacentral:rRNA from 1 species
GACGAACGCUGGCGGCGUGCUUAACACAUGCAAGUCGAACGGUAAGGCCCUUCGGGGUACACGAGUGGCGAACGGGUGAGUAACACGUGGGUGAUCUGCCCUGCACUUCGGGAUAAGCCUGGGAAACUGGGUCUAAUACCGGAUAGGACCACUGCCUGCCUGGGGGGUGGUGGAAAGCUUUUGCGGUGUGGGAUGGGCCCGCGGCCUAUCAGCUUGUUGGUGGGGUGAUGGCCUACCAAGGCGGCGACGGGUAGCCGGCCUGAGAGGGUGACCGGCCACACUGGGACUGAGAUACGGCCCAGACUCCUACGGGAGGCAGCAGUGGGGAAUAUUGCACAAUGGGCGCAAGCCUGAUGCAGCGACGCCGCGUGAGGGAUGACGGCCUUCGGGUCGUAAACCUCUUUCAGCACCGACGAAGCGCAAGUGACGGUAGGUGCAGAAGAAGGACCGGCCAACUACGUGCCAGCCGCCGCUGUAA